UUACGGCCGUAUCAGGUUGAAACAACGGUUUCCGUAUGAAUACCGAAGUUAAGCAACGUCGUGCCUGGUCAGUGCCUAGAUGGGUGACCUUUUGGGAAUGCC